UGGUUUAUAUUAGAUAUAGUGGUUAGAGUGUCCGCCUCAGAUGCGGAAAGUCGCGGGUUCGAACCCCAGCCAAGUCAU